GGUUCGAGCAGGUGCGAAAGCAGGUCAUAGUGAUCCGGUGGUUCUGAAUGGAAGGGCCAUCGCUCAACGGAUAAAAGGUACUCCGGGGAUAACAGGCUGAUACCGCCCAAGAGUUCAUAUCGACGGCGGUGUUUGGCACCUCGAUGUCGGCUCAUCACAUCCUGGGGCUGAAGUCGGUCCCAAGGGUAUGGCUGUUCGCCAUUUAAAGUGGUACGCGAGCUGGGUUUAGAACGUCGUGAGACAGUUCGGUCCCUAUCUGCCGUGGGCGUUGGAAGAUUGAAGGGGGCUGCUCCUAGUACGAGAGGACCGGAGUGGACGAACCUCUGGUGUUCGGGUUGUGUCGCCAGACGCAUUGCCCGGUAGCUAAGUUCGGAAUCGAUAACCGCUGAAAGCAUCUAAGCGGGAAGCGAGCCCUGAGAUGAGUCUUCCCUGAUACUUUAAGUAUCCUAAAGGGUUGUCGGAGACUACGACGUUGAUAGGUCAGGUGUGUAAGUGCUGUGAGGCAUUGAGCUAACUGAUACUAAUUGCCCGUGAGGCUUAACCAUACAACACCCAAGGGGUUU
rnacentral:rRNA from 1 species